rnacentral:rRNA from 1 species
AUACGAAGGGGGCUAGCGUUGCUCGGAAUUACUGGGCGUAAAGGGCGCGUAGGCGGACAGUUUAGUCAGAGGUGAAAGCCCAGGGCUCAACCUUGGAAUUGCCUUUGAUACUGGCUGUCUUGAGUUCGGGAGAGGUGAGUGGAAUGCCGAGUGUAGAGGUGAAAUUCGUAGAUAUUCGGCGGAACACCAGUGGCGAAGGCGACUCACUGGCCCGAUACUGACGCUGAGGCGCGAAAGCGUGGGGAGCAAACAGGAUUAGAAACCCUAGUAGUCC